rnacentral:rRNA from 1 species
UACGUAGGCAGCGAGCGUUUGUUCGGAGUUACUGGGCGUAAAGAGUGCGUAGGCGGUGCUCUAAGUUUGGUGUGAAAUCUCCCGGCUCAACUGGGAGGGUGCGCCGAAAACUGGAGUGCUCGAGUAUGGGAGAGGUAAGCGGAAUUCCUGGUGUAGCGGUGAAAUGCGUAGAUAUCAGGAGGAACACCUGCGGUGUAGACGGCUUACUGGACCAUGACUGACGCUGAGGCACGAAAGCGUGGGGAGCAAACAGG